UACGGAGGGUGCAAGCGUUAUCCGGAUUCACUGGGUUUAAAGGGUGCGUAGGCGGACAGGUAAGUCAGUGGUGAAAUCUCUGGGCUUAAUCCAGAAACUGCCGUUGAUACUAUUUGUCUUGAAUAUCCUGGAGGUAGGCGGAAUAUGUCAUGUAGCGGUGAAAUGCUUAGAUAUGACAUAGAACACCGAUAGCGAAGGCAGCUUACUACAGGAUGAUUGACGCUGAGGCACGAAAGCGUGGGGAGCAAACAGG
rnacentral:rRNA from 1 species